rnacentral:rRNA from 1 species
UACACUCCUGCGGGAGGCAGCAGUGGGGAAUUUUACGCAAUGGGGGAAACCCUGACGUAGCGACACCGCGUGAGCGAAGAAGCCCUUUGGGGUGUAAAGCUCUGUCAGCUGGAACGAAAACAAUGACGGUACCAGCAGAGGAAGCAUCGGCUAACUACGUGCCAGCAGCCGCGGUAAGACGUAGGAUGCGAGCGUUGUCCGGAUUUAUUGGGCGUAAAGAGUUCGUAGGUGGUUUGUUAAGUUUGGUGUUAAAGAUCGGGGCUCAACCCUGGGACUGCACUGAAUACUGGCAGACUCGAGUGUGGUAGAGGCUAGUGGAAUUCCCAGUGUAGCGGUGAAAUGCGUAGAUAUUGGGAAGAACACCGGUGGCGUAGGCGACUAGCUGGGCCAUAACUGACGCUGAGGAACGAAAGCCAGGGGAGCAAACAGGAUUAGAAACCCCGGUAGUCCCAUGA